UCAUGGGACUGGAAGCCCUCCAACAAGAAUUUGGGUGCUGUCUGGCCGUGUGAUCAUGGAUAAAUCAGCGCUUUCACUGGACUGAUUGGACU
rnacentral:lncRNA from 1 species